UACGAAGGGGGCUAGCGUUGCUCGGAAUCACUGGGCGUAAAGGGCGCGUAGGCGGCGUUUUAAGUCGGGGGUGAAAGCCUGUGGCUCAACCACAGAAUGGCCUUCGAUACUGGGACGCUUGAGUCUGGUAGAGGUUGGUGGAACUGCGAGUGUAGAGGUGAAAUUCGUAGAUAUUCGCAAGAACACCGGUGGCGAAGGCGGCCAACUGGACCAGCACUGACGCUGAGGUGCGAAAGCGUGGGGAGCAAACAGG
rnacentral:rRNA from 1 species